rnacentral:tRNA from 1 species
GGGGAUUUAGCUCAAUGGCAGCGCGCCUGCCUGGCAAGCACGAGGUCCUGAGUUCAAUCCCCU